rnacentral:rRNA from 1 species
UACGUAGGGUGCAAGCGUUAAUCGGAAUUACUGGGCGUAAAGCGUGCGCAGGCGGUGAUGUAAGACAGAUGUGAAAUCCCCGGGCUCAACCUGGGAACUGCAUUUGUGACUGCAUCGCUGGAGUGCGGCAGAGGGGGAUGGAAUUCCGCGUGUAGCAGUGAAAUGCGUAGAUAUGCGGAGGAACACCGAUGGCGAAGGCAAUCCCCUGGGCCUGCACUGGACGCUCAUGCACGAAAGCGUGGGGAGCAAACAGG